UCCUGCGGCUCAGUUGGUAGAGCGUUGCGCCAACAACACAAAUGUCGUGGGUUCAUAUCCCAGGGACAGCAGGAA